AGAGUUUGAUCCUGGCUCAGGACGAACGCUGGCGGCGUGCCUAAUACAUGCAAGUAGAACGCUGAAGGAGGAGCUUGCUUCUCUGGAUGAGUUGCGAACGGGUGAGUAACGCGUAGGUAACCUGCCUGGUAGCGGGGGAUAACUAUUGGAAACGAUAGCUAAUACCGCAUAAGAGUGGAUGUUGCAUGACAUUUACUUAAAAGGUGCACUUGCAUCACUACCAGAUGGACCUGCGUUGUAUUAGCUAGUUGGUGGGGUAACGGCUCACCAAGGCGACGAUACAUAGCCGACCUGAGAGGGUGAUCGGCCACACUGGGACUGAGACACGGCCCAGACUCCUACGGGAGGCAGCAGUAGGGAAUCUUCGGCAAUGGACGGAAGUCUGACCGAGCAACGCCGCGUGAGUGAAGAAGGUUUUCGGAUCGUAAAGCUCUGUUGUAAGAGAAGAACGAGUGUGAGAGUGGAAAGUUCACACUGUGACGGUAUCUUACCAGAAAGGGACGGCUAACUACGUGCCAGCAGCCGCGGUAAUACGUAGGUCCCGAGCGUUGUCCGGAUUUAUUGGGCGUAAAGCGAGCGCAGGCGGUUAGAUAAGUCUGAAGUUAAAGGCUGUGGCUUAACCAUAGUAGGCUUUGGAAACUGUUUAACUUGAGUGCAAGAGGGGAGAGUGGAAUUCCAUGUGUAGCGGUGAAAUGCGUAGAUAUAUGGAGGAACACCGGUGGCGAAAGCGGCUCUCUGGCUUGUAACUGACGCUGAGGCUCGAAAGCGUGGGGAGCAAACAGGAUUAGAUACCCUGGUAGUCCACGCUGUAAACGAUGAGUGCUAGGUGUUAGACCCUUUCCGGGGUUUAGUGCCGUAGCUAACGCAUUAAGCACUCCGCCUGGGGAGUACGACCGCAAGGUUGAAACUCAAAGGAANGACCAUUAUGAAACCAGUAGUAGAUGGUUGAAAUACCAACUUUCACUUGCUUCUUGUUAACCAUCAUUUCAGGCGAAAAUUUUUGCUUAUGAUAGUGUAAGAUCUUCUCUCUGAUUUCCUUUGUUAAAAUUAACUUUUUCACCGACCGUUUUCGAUUGAAUUGGUAAACAGUUUGUGCGUAAUCGGCAGAAUAGACCUUUUUGUAUAGCCCUUUUCUCACUUGUUGUAAAGUUGUACCUCUUUUGACUUCAUUAUGAAUCGUUUGAGGCGCCUUUCCUAACAAGCCUGCAAUUUCACGAUUGGACUUAUUUUCAUUCUUCCACCACUCAAUCAAGCGACGGUUAUCUAUUGUCAAAUGUUUCCCUUUUGGGGUAUAAUGUUCUUGCAUCUCUGUGCCUUUCCUUGUGUUUGUGGUGAACAACAAGUAUAGCACAGAGGUGUUUUCUUAUACCUUAAAUCACAUUUCAUUUGACAACAGGAACCCUUGAACCUGUUUUUUCAGCUAAACCAAGGCUAUGAUUAGCCUUGGCCACCUAGCCUAACAGUUUCAAACCUGUUAUCAAAUGAAAUCAUCAACUUACUCAAACAUAGUGAAACAUCUAAUUCUUGACUAAGGUAAGGUGGCUAACUUCAUUAUAGAACUUUCAUUCAUUAGUUUAUUCGUAAAAUCUUGUAGAUUUUAGGAAAAUUUUAUAUAAUAUUGAUAUAAAAGAAGGGAGGCCAAUAUGAGACAUAAAUUCCAGCAAGUUCUAGAUAAAAUACAUGAUUUUUUAAAUGGACAUGACCAACCU
rnacentral:rRNA from 1 species